GCGGGAAUAGCUCAGUUGGUAGAGCACAACCUUGCCAAGGUUGGGGUCGCGGGUUCGAAUCCCGUUUCCCGCU
rfam:Candidate division NC10 bacterium RIFCSPLOWO2_02_FTLL_66_22 rifcsplowo2_02_scaffold_945, whole genome shotgun sequence.